AACGAACGCUGGCGGCAUGCCUAACACAUGCAAGUCGAACGAGACCUUCGGGUCUAGUGGCGCACGGGUGCGUAACGCGUGGGAAUCUGCCCUUGGGUUCGGAAUAACAGUUAGAAAUGACUGCUAAUACCGGAUAAUGUCUUCGGACCAAAGAUUUAUCGCCCAGGGAUGAGCCCGCGUAGGAUUAGCUAGUUGGUGAGGUAAAGGCUCACCAAGGCGACGAUCCUUAGCUGGUCUGAGAGGAUGAUCAGCCACACUGGGACUGAGACACGGCCCAGACUCCUACGGGAGGCAGCAGUGGGGAAUAUUGGACAAUGGGCGAAAGCCUGAUCCAGCAAUGCCGCGUGAGUGAUGAAGGCCUUAGGGUUGUAAAGCUCUUUACCCGGGAUGAUAAUGACAGUACCGGGAGAAUAAGCCCCGGCUAACUCCGUGCCAGCAG
rnacentral:rRNA from 1 species